rnacentral:tRNA from 1 species
UCGUGCCAUCGCCGACGUCCUAUGAGCGUUCGACUGUUAAUCGAAUGGUCGCCGGUUCGAAUCCGGCGGCAGCGC